rnacentral:rRNA from 1 species
UACAGAGGGGGCAAGCGUUGUUCGGAAUUACUGGGCGUAAAGCGUGCGCAGUCGGUUGUGUAAGACAGAUGUGAAAUCCCCGGGCUCAACCUGGGAACUGCAUUUGUGACUGCACAGCUGGAGUGCGGCAGAGGGGGAUGGAAUUCCGCGUGUAGCAGUGAAAUGCGUAGAUAUGCGGAGGAACACCGAUGGCGAAGGCAAUCCCCUGGGCCUGCACUGACGCUCAUGCACGAAAGCGUGGGGAGCAAACAGG